rnacentral:rRNA from 1 species
GACGAACGCUGGCGGCGUGCUUAACACAUGCAAGUCGAACGGUAAGGCCCCAGCUUGCUGGGGUACACGAGUGGCGAACGGGUGAGUAACACGUGGGUGACCUGCCCCGCACUUCGGGAUAAGCCUUGGAAACUGGGUCUAAUACCGGAUAGGACCGCACCGUGAGGGUGUGGUGGAAAGUUUUUCGGUGUGGGAUGGGCCCGCGGCCUAUCAGCUUGUUGGUGGGGUAAUGGCCUACCAAGGCGGCGACGGGUAGCCGGCCUGAGAGGGUGGACGGCCACAUUGGGACUGAGACACGGCCCAGACUCCUACGGGAGGCAGCAGUGGGGAAUAUUGCACAAUGGGCGGAAGCCUGAUGCAGCGACGCCGCGUGGGGGAUGACGGCCUUCGGGUUGUAAACUCCUUUCACCAUCGACGAAGGUUUUCUGACGGUAGAUGGAGAAGAAGCACCGGCUAACUACGUG